UGCUUGUUAAAGCAAUUUUUCCGAAGGCACAGGAAAUUUAUAAAAAUUCCUGAGGCUUGUUUUGAUACCUUUAUAACUGAGGGUAAGUGCAUUCUUAUCAUUGCGAAUUGAGAGAGGGCUUGAAAGAAAUUGAGGCUACACAUCUUUGGGACUGUUCUUUUAAACUCCUCCCCCAUUUUAUACUUAUAUUCCAGUGAAGGAGAAGUUCUCCAUUUCCAAGGAUAGCCCCAUUACAUUGGAAGAUGAGACAGGCACAGAAGUCGAUAAAGAUGUUUCCUGAUUUACUGACCACCACGGACAAAAACAUAUUGCUUGUCAUAAAAGAUAAACUUGAUGACAGUGAACCAUCUACAUCAUCUACACCCAAGUCAUGACUCCACAAAGCAGUGAUGAUAGUGACUGGUUCAGUCCAAAACCAAUCAGAAGGGAUGAAGAGGCAUUAAAGAGUUCACCAGCCAGAGAUAAACCUGCAUCCUGACCUGUCUGCCUGCUACUUGGAUUUCUCCUACCGCCUAACCCUGCCUGUGCUGUUGCCAUCGCGGACUGAUCACCCGGUAUUCCGACCUGCCUGCCCCUGGAUUCUCCUGCCGUCUACCCCUGCCUUUACUGUUGCCUUCGCGGACUGAUCACCCGGUAUCCUGAGCUGCCUGCCUGCUUCUGGUUUCUCCUCUCUGUCGAUUUCCUCACUGUGCCUUUGUGGAUUGUUCUCCUGGUUAUUGAACCUACCGGCCCGUCUCUACUGUUUUUGCUCCUGCCUACUCCUCUGUCCAAAAAUAAAUCGACAGUUGCGUUUCUGCAAUUGGAACCACACAUCCCUGGUCUCAGUGUUCAUUACAUUCUACUCAUCAUUAUGUAAAAUCAUCAUUGUCUGAAAAUGUUAUCCCAUUUUAAAUGUGUUCUAUACAUACAUUUUAACCAGACUAU